CACAAUAAAGUCUCCAUUUACAACCAAGAAUGGCAGUGAAUGGCCGUCUAUCAAGGCGCAUCCAUCCAUGAUAAAAGUAAUCCACCACAUGACUCUGGCGGGGUUAUAAAGCCCUUUUAAAGCGAAGCAUUUGUGCUAUGAGGAAAAACUCUACCGUGCACACAGAGAACAGAGCUCAAUGCUGCUAACUGGGGGAGCAGCUGGACAACUAGAAGAGAGAAUAGUAGAACACUAUUAACACAGAUUCCUGGAUUAUUUUUCUGCAAGAACCACAACAAGCAAAGACUGAUGAUGAGUGCUCUGAGCAAACACCGGAGUCAAGACGCAUUAGUGACUUUACUGAGUUCUUCAUGUAAUGUUGGGCAUUUACUGUACGCAGAACUUCUAAUAAUUUAUGUGGAUGCCAUUUAUAAACCUGUUAGAUUUUGAUGUUUUAGUUUUGAGAUUAAUAAAAUUUUAUGCUUUAACAAUGUUAUAGCUAAUCAUUUUUGAGGGGUUUUAAGAGAACAUUUUGGGAACAAAAAUAAACUUCCGCUAAAAACUUUAUAAGAAAGUUAGGGGAUAAUGUUUUAAAAAUGUUAUGAUUAAACCUUUAUAGAAGGUCAUCACAAAACAUUUUCAGAGUGUUCUUAGAGAAUGUUAUGCCAUCUUUUAAGAGAACAUUCUGGGAACAAAAAGAAAACUACCCGCUGAAAAUG